GACGAACGCUGGCGGCGUGCUUAACACAUGCAAGUCGAACGGAAAGGCCCUGCUUUUGUGGGGUGCUCGAGUGGCGAACGGGUGAGUAACACGUGAGUAACCUGCCCUUGACUUUGGGAUAACUUCAGGAAACUGGGGCUAAUACCGGAUAGGAGCUCCUGCUGCAUGGUGGGGGUUGGAAAGUUUCGGCGGUUGGGGAUGGACUCGCGGCUUAUCAGCUUGUUGGUGGGGUAGUGGCUUACCAAGGCUUUGACGGGUAGCCGGCCUGAGAGGGUGACCGGCAAAAUGGGGAAGGAGUUACGCCCCAGACCCCGACGGGAGGCAAGGGGGGGGAAUUUUGCAAAAGGGGGGGAAGCCGGAGGCAGAAACGCCGCGGGCGGGAUGGCGGCCUUGGGGUUGAAAACCGUUUUCGCCUGGGACGAAGGGGGGGUGAGGGAAAUGGGAAAAAAAGCACCGGCUAACUACGG
rnacentral:rRNA from 1 species